AGCAUGUGGUUUAAUUCGAAGCAACGCAAGACUUACCAGGUCUUGACAUCCCGAUGCUAUUUCUAGAGAUAGAAAGUUACUUCGGUACAUCGGUGACAGGUGGUGCAUGGUUGUCGUCAGCUCGUGUCGUGAGAUGUUGGGUUAAGUCCCGCAACGAGCGCAACCCCUAUUGUUAGUUGCCAUCAUUCAGUUGGGCACUCUAGCGAGACUGCCGGUAAUAAACCGGAGAAGUGGGGAUGACGUCAAAUCAUCAUGCCCCUUAUGACCUGGGCUACACACGUGCUACAAUGGUUGGUACAACGAGUUGCGAGUCGGUGACGGCGAGCUAAUCUCUUAAAGCCAAUCUCAGUUCGGAUUGUAGGCUGCAACUCGCCUACAUGAAGUCGGAAUCGCUAGUAAUCGCGGAUCAGCACGCCGCGGUGAAUACGUUCCCGGGCCUU
rnacentral:rRNA from 1 species